AAGCUGAUCGAAAGCAGCAGAGAAUUGACCAGCAGUGAGGGGGUUAACACUCCGACAAAGCCGAGCAGGAACGCAAGAUUUAACUGCAGCACAGGAUAAAACAACAUCGAAUAAAACAGGCAUGUGAUCAGAAAACCCACUGUCACAGAUCUCUAAAUUUGACACAGACAAACCAUGAGAAAGAACAAGGUCUAAGGUAUGACCAUGUUCAUGUGUGGGACCGGACACAUACUGCACUAAAUUAAAAGAGUCAAUGAUGUUUAAAAAUUCCCUCACCAGCGGUUUAUCAGGACAACAUACAUGAAUGUUAAAAUCCCCGACAAUAAGGAUGCGAUCAUAAUUUGGCAUAAGUCCAGCCAGGAAAUCAGAAAAGUCAUUCACAAAGUCCUUAUUGUAUUUAGGGGGUCGGUAGAUGACAGCGCACAGCACCAGGUCAGCGCGACCCACCUCAAAUAAGGUGACUUCAAAACUGGAGAAAGAAGAUGAUACAGCGUGCUGUUUACAUUUAAAGUCAUUUUUAAACACAGCCGCCGUUCCUCCUCCCCGGCCUGACGUCCGCGGUGAAUUAAAAUAAUUACAGCCAGCCGGUAAAAGUUCAACAAGAGCGCUGUACUCACCGGCACCAAUCCAAGUCUCAGUCACACAGAGAAAAUCCAGGCUUCGGAAACAGAAGAAAUCCUUUAGGAUAAAAGUUUUAUUUGCCAGUGAUCUGGCAUUCACCAAACCGAUCCUGGCGGGAACUGGGGCCUGUGGUUUAGCGAAUCUGGAAGCCCGGAGCAACGUCCUCAAAUUACCUGGAUUCACCCCACGCUGGCGGAGCCGAGGAGAGCAGGGGCGGCGGGGCCCGAAACCUUCAUCCAAGUCGGUGACAGGUACCAGGGAGAUGUCGAUGGGCUCCAGAAAGCGCCGGGACACACUAAAUGGAGGGGGUAAUUCAUGUCCUGUCCGGGAAAUGGACGGAGAAUUUGCCAGAUAGACUUUCAGCUUCACUAACCGACCGGCACGUUUACCGCGGCGGCGACGGCGCUUCCGCCGGGGGAUUAGAGCCGAGGCCCGGUACAGGAAACACAUGCAGGGUAAAGCAUGAGGGUCCAGCAGAACCUCUGGAGGACCGGGUACAUGAGGGAAACAACAGAAGCAUCAUCACCCCACGUGGAGGUCACAGGAAAACAAGCACAGCCAGCAGGAUGCAGCACGUUGGUUUGCCGAUCAGUGCAGAUUAAAAACACAAACUAAUAAAUCAUGUCAGGAUCCACAUUUCUAAGAACUGAUUUGGUGUGAGAUGCUAAAGACCCCCGACUUUCACAGGCUUGGAAUACAUGAACCCAACUGCAGGAUGAUUAAAAAAGGUAGAACAAUUCUGUGGCCACUUGAAAAAAAGGAAGAAACUAAUAAUAAAAUACAA